UGGCUGAGCGGUAAAGCGCUUGGCUUCUGAACCGGGGGUCCCCAGGUUCGAAUCCUGG
rnacentral:tRNA from 1 species